CACCCACUGCAAUUCAUUUUCAAAACGCAGAUGUUGCUGGUCUCCUCGCUGCAAUCCAGCGCUUACAGAUGGGACUGUACAAGGUAAAUGUUCAUCUCACCUCCACUCACUCUCACCCAGAAUGUUUCUCAGUUAAGAAUGUCUCAGAAUGUUUUUCGUUUUACGCUAUUUUUACUGAGCACAUAUACAUCCCGAAUGGGAAUGAAACCCGCGACUGCUGCCGUUGAGGUGAGGCUGAGGCGGUUGAGGAGUUUUUGUUAGGUUACAGGAUGUUGAAUUAACAUUAAAUGUUGCAGUAAAAAGUAGGAAAAAAGACAGUUGAGAGUGGUACAGAUGUUUUUUGUCCCAAUUAGAAAGUAUGCAGAAAUGAUUGAGAAUGUUUAUGAUGAGACUUAAACUAAAACACAACCUGCAAACAUAAGUUUCUUCGUUCCUUCAAAACGUGUCUACCACACAAUAUCAGUGAAGGCCAGCUGUCUAAUGCAGGCUUACAA
rnacentral:misc_RNA from 1 species